rnacentral:misc_RNA from 1 species
GAAACUACGUUACCAGGGGAAGAAGACAGCAUCACGGUUGAUAGUUCAUCUCCCAAAGAAAGAAUUGAACCGGCAGCUGACACGGGUGAGAAUGAUAUGCAGGACUAUUAUGAGAAGAUGCUCAAGAAGAACCCCACUGAUCCGUUGCUUCUGAAAAACUACGCCCGGUUCUUGCAACAGUCCAAAGUAGACUUCCAAGGAGCAGAGGAAUACUACUACCGUGGCAUUCAAGCCGACCCGAGCGAUGGGGAAAUGCUAUCAGAAUAUGCAAAAUUGGUGUGGGAGCUUCAUCAUGAC